UUACAUAUACUUUCUUCUGCUGGGUUUUUUGUCAGAUUGCCAGCUCUUUCUAUUUUUGUAUUCAUAAAUUAAUUUUUCUAAGUGAUAAGAUAGAUGCUUUGUAAUAAUUGACUUUCAACAUAGGGGGAAAAGUGUUUAGAAGGAACCUGGAAGAUCUUUCUUUUAAGCAGCAGUUCUCCAAAAGCCAAGGCACACCAUCACAGUAGAGAGCAGGCAGGCAUAGGCAAGAUUCUCUGUGGGGUGCAGCAGAGUUCCCGUACAAAUGCAGGAAGGCACCUUGGCACGAUGCUGAAAUUGAACUGAUGUCCCAGCUUCCCCAGCUGGCUGGUUAGCCACCCCCAGCACCACAUCAACCAUGCACUCCCAGCCUCUCACCCUGGGUUAACACAGAUGCUGUAGGCUCAAACUGCAGACAGAGCUCACCAGCAUUUGCCUGCCCCCCACAGGGGAGCAAUCAACCUUGGUCCUCAUUUGAGGAAUGUGGGGAAAAUGAAGACUCUUUGUAGGUAUUUGAAUAAUUGAUAAUCUUAAAAUGAAAUAGAUUAGGCUUUUUCUCAUUUACCAGCUCACCUAAAGUCUGAAUGCCACAGCAGCUUUCAUCUGCUCACAGACAUAAUGUAAUGAAAUCACAGUUGAUACCAUGACCCAUGAAUUGUUAUUUUUAACUUGACAUUUCUUUCACGUCAAUGCGGAUGUUUUGAGAAAUAGGAAAUAAAUGAAAUUACUGGGUUCUUUUGAACUAACAGUCUAUUGUCAGGUUUAUCAUGUUACAGUGGUAACAGCAAUUGCCUUAAGUGAUUUUUAAUGGAUAACCGUACACAUCAAGUUAUGAUCUUGUCAGAUGCAAAACCUAACUAGGGUUAAGUUUCAUCAAUAUUUGAAUAGAGAACUGAAUAAAAUCCUGAGGGCUAAAAAAAGCUUUGAGAACAACAGGUUAUUAGGAAAAGAUAGUAACAACAGAAAAACUUAUUACUGUUAAUUAAAAUAAAUUGACCGUACUGUUUUCAAAAAAUUAUUGUGAUUACAGAUGUUUAUGCAAAAUGUGGAUUACUACUUUGUAAUUAAGAAGAACAGAAAUUUUAUAAACACAGUCACAAUUACUUCAUUUACAUAUAUAUGUGUGUGUGUGUGUGUGUGUAUACAUAUAUACAUGAUCAGCUUCGUAUUUUCCAGUCUGACAUUUGCCAGGUGAAAAUGUCACACUGAAAUUAUAUGCAUGCACAUCAAGAAGAGCCAAGUUCUCCUACUUUGACAUCACAUAGAAUCUAACAUGUAACUAGUAGUUUAAAAUCAACGAUAUAAAAUUUUAUUGUGAUACAAUCCAACAAGGCAGUUGGUUCCUGGAUCGCAUUAUGCUAGAAUCUGGCAAGCAUAAAAAAGAAACUGUCCCUAGAUUUACCAGUCAGACAGAGUCAAGGGGACUGGAAGUAGACUGUGCAAACAAAGAAAUAAGAAGGAUAGUUGAUUUCUGCUGAUUUACAUGAAUUACAAUUUUACUAAUUUUAUCUAGGCUGAAUAAGGGCAAGGGAGUAAGGUCAGCCACAAAGGAGAAGAGAAAGAGUCAUUGUGCAUGGCAUUCAGUUUAAAAUACCUAAAUUUAGGUGGCUACAUGAGUGUCUUCGUCUACUGUUCUUGCCUAAGCUUCUAGUGUGUUCAGUGGAGAUUUAGCUGAGACAGGGGAAUCAAAAGAGCCAUUCAGCUCACAUACCACAUGGUUUAUCAGCCAGAUUGCUCCCAGAGGCGGUGCUAAGGGCAUGGAAAGGAACCUACUCCUGCACUAUAAGGGACCUAUUCUUCCAGUAAACCAUUAUACAAAGUAUGGUUAUCACCUUUCUACCUGAAUGCAUUGCUUCAUAACAUUCAAUGCUCUUAAUUUACCUUAAUUCUCAGUUGAGGCAACGUCUGUAUGAGGGCAUGGCAUGGCUGCAGGAUCACAGGCCUUCCUCUCCCCUUGUGAGAUGAAAGAGAUCCAGCUUAGCAACACAAAUCUUCCCCAACCCUUCCACAGCACAGCUGUUAAUUUCUGUUUUGAAUGUAACUGUUCAUUUUUAUUUGUUUGACCUAUAUUUUGUCGUAUUUGGACUGCUCACUUGAACGGCACUCCACACAUAUAAACUUAAACAGUUUUUUUUUAUUUGUGCUUUCCAAAACACCCUUUGCUCUCAGCAUCUGAACCCAGCACCAAUGCUGAUCGCGUGAGCAGAAAACAAUCUCCUGGAGUCAUUUUAGGAGCCUUUCUCUAAAUGAUAUUGCACCAGUUAGCUGCUGAUGCAUGAAAACGACAUAAAACUGGAAAUGCUCUUACAAAUGUUUCUGUGUAUUUCACAGCAUUAGGAUGUCAGCUCUUUGGGCUUGAACUUUUUGAGCGACAUGGUAUAAGUUCACUUGUAUCACUUGAUGCUCAGGUGUGAGUCAUCUCCUUUCUGUACAAUGAGUGGCAUUAAAGCCAUGGUGGGAUUGUAGUUGUCGGCUUUCUCAGAUGCAGUUUCAGGAUCAUGAAUCAGAUUUUUUUCAGAGUGGAAGAGUAGUUUCAUGGCCAGAGCUAUCUUCUAACAUCUGAGGUUAAUCCUGGUUCUCUCCAUUUUCUACCUGUGUUGCAGAUAAAGUGAAUUUUUCCACAAAUGUUGUUUCCACACAAGCGUGCCACCAACCACACCAGAAUUGUGUUGUAGUUUCUGGAAUGAUCAUGCUGUACUUGCUCUCUCCUUCCCCAGUCUACUCCCAUCUAUUCUAUUUGGCUGUUAUCUGCAGCCCUGGGCUGUAGAAGGAGCAUGCCAUGGGACUUAGGAGUAGAGUUUUCAGCUUAUUAACAUCUCAGCCAGUAAAGCAUUUGAUUCCGUAGGGGCAUGUCAGUAAACCUCGAGGAAGAUCUUGUCUGCAUUAAUGUCUUUUUGGCUACUUGUGAUGUUGACCAGUCCAUUACACUGUCAGUUAUAAGACCUACCAGCUGCAUUUGAAGCCUCAGUACUUUACAAACCUUCAAAUUUCUUCCAAUGUGUAUGGUGACCCAUUAUCUGAAAUGAGCUCAUCACAGAUACAGUGUUUGGUGACUGUCACCUCAGUGUGAUUCACUAGAUGCUGGCUAAUGUGUUGCUUACUUCUCUUAGUUUCAAAAGAACAACUGUAAUAAUCAAUUAUCAGCAGGCGGUGGUUUCCCCCAUGUUCAAAUACAUCAAUUGCCAGUUCCUGCCAAGCUCUGCUGGGAGCAUCACAAAUGGUCACAGCCUCCCAGGGAUUCUGUCUCUGGUACUUUGCACAGUGGCAAUGAUUUCUGACCUUUUUUCCUUUAUAUGUAUUCAUGUUGGCCCAAUAAAGUCUGCUUGUUGCCCAGUUUUUUGCAUAGCGUCAUCUAAAGUGUCCUCAUGAAUCUUUUCAGACUCGGUGCAUUUUAAUUGGAGUCUCUGUUUUCCCCUCUUUCUGCACUUGCUCUUUCUCUCAGUCACCUUUUGGUUUUUUCCAUUCUAAAAGUCUCCGGUAGUCAAGGGAACUAGUUUCUGUGCAGCCCAGUGUGAGCUUAUUAUUUCUUUUAAGGGACUCACUGCAUUGUCACUCUCAGUUUCUCCGUUUUCCAACUCCCAUGUUUUGCAGAUCUGGUAACUGCUACAGGAGUCUGUGUGUGCAUGUGUGUGCUUGUUCUUCCAAAUACUUUUCUUUAGCUUUUUGCUUCAUUUUGUUGUGUUCUGCAUUUUGAUCUUUGAAAUUCCUCAGGUUUUUAUUUUUCACUUGAGGUUUACUUUCCUAAUUCUAGCACUAGCAUGGAAAUCAUUGUGGCACAAAAGACAAAGUUUUGUCAAGAAUCUCCUUUUAUUCAUGUUAUAUAAUAUAAAAACAGCCAGACAGAGUUGAGAAAAAAGUAUAUUCAACCCAGUGCCUUACUCCUGGCAAUGGCUAACAGAAGAUGCCAAAAGAUGAGUUUGAUGGCUGUUGGCCAUCUAUGUUAAUACUAAAAUAUUCUCCAAGCAUUCUACAAGUUACAGGACAGUGGUUUCAUAAGCCAAUGCAGUGGUUUCGUGAACCAAUACAUUAGGGAUUUUGGGAUGGUUAUAUUAUUUAUUUAUUUUUCAUUUAAUUAGCCUCAAAAAAUUUAUUCUCUUAAUUGGACAGGUCGCUUUUAGAAUCUGUGUAAGUGCUUAUAGCUAUGUGAGACAAAAAAUUCUGCAGCUAUAGUAAUACCUGUGUGAAAAGCAACUUGCUUUAAUUUUAGUUUUAUGAACAUACCACCCCUGAGUGCCUAUUUAUGCUUUCUUGUUCUUAUAUGGGAACAGAUCAUAAGUUCUUUCCCGAAUGUCUUUCCCUGGCUUUCACAAUUUCAUAAUCUUCUACCUCUCUCACUCACUGCUUUUUGAAGCAUCAUGUUGUUUUCUGGCUUGUUCCGUGUUCUUUUCCUGAUGGUUCUUUACGUUGGCAAUUUGGUUUUUUGAUCAUAAGUCCACCUUGCUAACAUUUUCAAGAAAUUUUCUACUUAUCCAUUAGAAGGCCAAGAUCUUUGUCCUGAAGGGUAAUAUCAGAUAGUAUUGGACAAUUACAUAUCAGUUUUCCCUCAUUGUACAUUUCGUUACAUUGAGUUCUGAUGCCCAGUCAUUCAGGUUUUAGAGGUCCUUAUACUGUUUUCCGCUGUUGGUCUUCAACUUUCCUACCCUGAAUAACCCAGUGUUCUCAGAAAACUUUGACACUUCACUGGCCACACUCUGUUUCACAGCAUUUAAGAGUAUGUUAAACAGCAUGAGUUCCAGCAUGGUCCCUGUGGGACUCCAUUGGUGACCUCCCUCCACCGUGAAAAUUGGCCAUUUACUCUUAGCUUUUAUUCCAAUUGUUUAAUCAAUUGUUUAUUCAUGCAACAACCUUCCUUUUUAUCCCAUACCCAUUUAGAUACUAUAAGAACUUCUGUGGAAGAACCUUGCUAAAUGACUUAUGGAAAUCCAUGCAUCAGCCAGAUUUCUUUUAUCCACAUGAAUGAAAUAAGCAGUUUUUAAAGUGUGAAUAAUCUGACCUAUUUUCCAGUCACCUACAUUAGGAUAAAACGAAGUUACCCUUGGAGAGCUUAUUCACUCCAUUGACUUGAGAGGGAAUCUAGAUGUACAGCCGUUGGCUUCAGUGAGUUUUCCACUAGCUACCACAGACCAGAUCCAUGAAAUGUCACUUAUUUUUGACCUUGGCCUUGCUUUCUUUCAUGGUGAUAUUUCUCCCUCAUGUUUGCAUUGGACUGCUGAGACAUCUCUUCUGCUUUUGGGACUCAGCAAUGGCUGUGGAGCCCUGGUCUUCUACCAAAGCAUGCCCGACAUGGGGGACUCCUUGCUGGAAUAGACAUCAGAACAGCCCUCCAGCCUCCAGCAGGAGGACCCUUGCUUUGUCACGGUCAACCCUGCAGUCACCCCCUGGGGUACCUGUCAUUUUCUGUUGUUUCCCACAUGCACAGAACAUUUCCCCAGACUCAGAAAGUGGUUCCCUAGAGCAGGAACAGCUCCCACAAAUGGAAGGGCCACACUGGGCUAGAUGUGUACAAACACACCCCAUCUCAUCCCAUUUCUGCUUUUUUUGACAAAGCAGGCAAAGGCUGGAGGAAAUAGUGCCUGGUUGCUGCCAUGUGUGUCAUAGCAGAAGUGGGGUCAUGGAAAGAUGGACCUACUUCCCCUCUGUUCCAGAGGAAGCAUGUGGCAGAGUGGGGAGAUAAACCCAGAUCUCCCAAAUGACCAACAGUGCCUUAGCUGUAAGACUGAAUGUCUCCACUGUGAUGAUGAACAGCUUUUCAGAUGAGUUGCAAAGCAGUUAGCUUGCUCCUCUGCAGCCAUUAAAGAUCCCAAGAUUGCUUUUCAUAAGCUUCCAGUAGUGUUACUUAACUGAGUGUCCUGGCUGCAGUCCAGCCUGGCUUACCCUAGACCGCAUUUCCCAAAUUCCAUCAUUUCAGCUGUGUAACGUAAAUCAUGCUUACAUCUCACUCAGCACUGCUGAUGCUGCUAAAGAGUUACAAAGGCUUGUUUCAUAGCCACUGUAAAGCCAUGAAGGGAAGUAAUCCUUUUAUACAAAUGUUGUAUGCAAAUAUAGUCUGUCUGUCUAUUUGCAUUUCCUGCAUUUCUUUUCAUCAUGUUUAUUAUCAUUGUUGUCAUGUCUGUUUACACGUAACUGCAUGGACUAAGGAGCUCUGUGAAAUGUCAGUCUUUCACCCUGGACUUGAAACUGAUUAUAUACACAGAUGUCAAGGUCAUGUUUCAGUAACAUUUAUUUUGGAAACUCUGCAAACAGACAGAAAGAGUUAAAUAAAUGUGAUUGUUUUUCUGACUCUUAGGCAGAGUCCUUACAAACUUCUGAGCACCUCUUGAGAAUUUUCUCUUCAUUUUCAUAUUAAAGCAGCCAUAAGAUCUGAAUUAAUCUGCCUUUUCUGCUGGAUGGUCCUCUCCAGACAAGACACGCCAACAUCAAUGAAACACUAUACAUGUGAUCCUGGUGCAUUCAUAUCCAGUAGUUCUGUUGUGCAGUUUCCUAGGUUUGACUGGCCUGUCUAAUCACAGGACAAGUUCCAUAGGGUCAAACACCUUAAUUUUUCCAUUCUUUGCCACUGGGGCAAGGCUGUGUUUUCAACACUACUCUUCCUUAGGGAGAUGGUGCAGGAAACAAAACCCAACAGGUUACAGCCACCUUAGGCCAGCAUUGACCAACUGAUUGCAACAUGUAUUCUGACCCCAGAACAUGUAAGCUCUGCAUUUGUUUGUAGCUUUGUUUUUAAAGUACGUCAUGGUCAUUUUAUGAAAGUAUUGUCUCCAUCUGGCAGUUUUACUGCUCUUAAGCACCAGGAAGAUAUUCAUCAGCCUUCUUAAGAAGCUUUGCCCAUAUUCGAUGCAGAGAUUUUUGCCUUCCUCUACUUAAAAUAGCAUUCAUGUUCAACUUCAGUUUCCUUCAUGGAUUUUUUCCCUGUUUAUUUUUCUGAACUGAUUUCAAAUCCAGGAUAGCUCUUUUUCAGACACGUAGAGAGGGCAAAAAAUCCUGAAAGCAAAAGACCAUCAGUAGACUUCAGUCGUUUGCCGCCUUUUCAGUUGAGACUGCCUGUGGCCAAGGCUAGGGGGCUUUUCCCCCCCACUGCAUUUAGGUUGGUGGGGGGUGGAUUUUGAGGCUCAGCACUUGAGCAGAGCCAAGUGGACGGGCUGAUAAAAUCAGCUCAGUGCUUGGGAGAAGAAUCCCAGGCGAAAUUGGAGACGGGCCAAGAGAGGCUAGGGAGUUGCCUGUCGAAGCUGACCGGAGGCAGCCAAAAACUGACUUAGAGGAAUGAAGAUUCCAGGAUGCGUACGCUUGAUAAGCUACACUGCAGCAGCUUAGAACCGAGGUGGGACACCGAGAGGGAUAGAUCACCAGCAGCAGGAGAGCAAGGACUCAAAGCUAUCUUCUCGGACUUCAUGAGGAGGAGAGACUACAACAAACAACUGCUGGACUUGUUGAGGAGGGAGUGUUCAGGAGCCCAGAACACUCCCACAGCAGACUGUGUUACAUAUCAGCUUUAAAGGCUGCUCCUGGACUAAAGUUAAAGGAGGGGCUUGAAAGGACUGACUGAUAGUAAUGUAAUAUAUAUGUAUAUAGUUGCCUUUAGUUUGUAUAGUAUUUAUUUGUGUAAAUAAAUGUAUAUACUUCCCCCUUCCCCUACAGAAGCCUCUGGUCUGAAAGUUUCUCUCCGGUGUUAGGAUAAAUUGUUGAGAAGGGGUGGGGGAAGCUUGGAAGUUGGAUUUUAGAUUUUUAAUGUGGCUCAAACUGCCACAAGUAUGUCAACACCAGCUUUGGCUGUAAAGCCCUGUGCAUGUUGAGCUGUUUUAGAUUAUCUGAUUUUAUGUCCUUCAUUCAUCAUUCAUAAUCCAUUAUACCACUGCUGUAUGAUAUGACUGCAAUAACACCUAAGACUUGUUUGGAAUAUUAA